UACAGAGGUCCCGAACGUUGUUCGGAUUUACUGGGCGUAAAGGGCGCGUAGGCGGCGCAACAAGUCACUUGUGAAAUCUCCGGGCUUAACCCGGAGCGGUCAAGUGAUACUGUCGUGCUAGAGUGCGGAAGGGGCUACUGGAAUUCUCGGUGUAGCGGUGAAAUGCGUAGAUAUCGAGAGGAACACCUGCGGCGAAGGCGGGUAGCUGGGCCGACACUGACGCUGAUGCGCGAAAGCCAGGGGAGCGAACGGG
rnacentral:rRNA from 1 species